rnacentral:lncRNA from 1 species
CCUGCAUCCCUCCUCCACUCCCAGCCCCUCACACUCCAGGAACAAGGAGCAGAGGCGCCAUUUCCACCAGCGAAGCAUCUGUCCCCUUGCUCUCUGCCCCAUCCUGGGCGGCAGAGCCCAGGCCUGCAUCUCCUCAGGGCCCAGCUUGCUCCUCCCUGGCCCUCAAAGCUCCUCCUCUCCAUCCAGUCCCAACUGGAGCACAGACACCUGACAGCUCUUCUCCACCUUACAAACAAAACUCUCCCUCGGACCCAGGCUCCCUUUUGGCUACUGUCCACUUUCCUGACUCCCCUUCAUGGCCAAACCUCUUAAGCAAAGUGCCUUGCCCCUAUUGCCCUCCACUGCCCUCCUUCACCCACUCCAGACCCAGCUCCAUUCUCACCACUCCAAGAAGACUGCAGUCACCAGUGAUCUCAUGUGGCCGAGUCCAGCCAUCUCUUCUCCAUUCUGCCCAGAGCUGUUACCUGACCCAGCUGAGAACCCCUUCUUUCUGCCAUACCCCUUUCCCCUCCUGGCUCCCAGGACUCCACGCUCUAUCAUUUCAGUCUCCUUUCCUGGACCGUCUUCAGCUGCACCUCUACAAACACUGCCUGCUCCUAGGCUGGGCCUGGGCUCUUCUACAGCUACACAGUUUCUCCAGGAAACCUCACUCAAUUCCACGGUUUUAAACACCUCUGAUCUCACUCGGACACUGCAAACACACAGAUGCAGCUUUAAGAGGCAGGUACCAGCUCCCCAGCAUCAGCAUCUAAGGAGUAUCUCAAACUCGAUUCCUCUCAAAAUUUUACAGUUGUAUGAGUUCCAAAGAAAGUAUUACGUAUUUCCAAAAAGGAGGAGAAAUCUGGAUACAAUAAAUAGCAGUGAAUAAAGGAACCCAUAAACUGUAUACUUAUAUCCAAUCACAGUUGCUUGAUGGGGAAAAUAACAUUAUAGAACUAAGAACAGUCUUGAGCUGGGGAGUGGAAGGUGAGGAGCUGGGAGUGUAGGAAACAGGAACUGAUUAACUCUAAGCAUUUACAGAAAGAAAGGCGGAAACGGUUGUUCUUAAAAGCUGAAAGAUAUUCACAAGAAGAAUAGAAACAGAAACAAUGCGAAAGCCUAUAAAAUUAAAAAUUAAAUAAAAUGGCAGGCCCAAAUUUCAACUUAUCAAUAAUCACAAUCGUAAAUGGGUUAAAUCACUCUAUUAAAAGAUGAAGGCUCUCAGACUGAGUUAAAAUAUACCUAUUAAAUAAAGGGAUACGAAAAGAUUGAAAAUAAGGACAUAAAGAUGACUUCUAAAGGGACAAAAAGGGGUUUUCUGUGUUGAUAACAGUCAGGAACACUUAUGCACCUAACAACAUGGUCUUGAAACAUAAAGCAAAACUGGACAGACAAGAAGGCACAGGCAGCUCCAGAAUCACAGGGAGACUGACCUUCCCUCUUCUAGAAAUCCAGUCAGGUGAUACAGCAAGUUAGGAAAGAGAUCUGCUGAUGAACACAAAAAGCUAGAUCCAGCCGCAGCUGAGGGAGAACAAUGUAAGCAACUAGUGGAGAGGACGCACUCUUCUCAAACCACCACAAUGGACUGUGUGCUAAGCCACGAUGAAACCUCUAAAGAACCCAAAAUGCAGAUGUCUACAAGUGACCAUAUUACUGGACCUUAAGGAAAUAAAAUUAAACAAGAAUUACAAACAAACUGGCUCCCCUCCCCCAGUCUAUCCACUUGAAAAACUGUCCACAACCUUCUAAAUACCUUGCGUUAAAGAGAGAAUCCAGACUGAAAGGACACACUCUUUAGAAAUGAACAGCAACGAGAGCAACAUGAGGCAAAUCUAUGUGUGAGGACAAAGGGACAGAGGAAGGGACACAGCCUCCACCACAGGUACUAGGAAAUAUCAACUGUACACGAAGAAGCUGAGCACUUCCCUCCAGUAGCCAGAACAACGACACAAUAAAACCAAAGACAGUGGAAAGAAGAUUCAUGAGGCAGAAACAAUGGUGUUGACCUGAUCAAUGGAGCCAUGGGCUGGUUGUUUGGAAAGACCUGUGACAGUGACAAACCUUGGGCAGUCUGAUUAAGACAAUGGCACCAAACAGUACCAUCAGGAAUGAGAAACUAUAGAAAUAGCUUUGACGUGACAGGAGAACAGAGUAGAUAACCCUGACCAGGACUAGGAUGCAUUUGGAAACACGCAGCAUGGGUUUUGUUUCUUGUUUUGGGUUGCACUAAUGGUUGUUGCCGUGGGGGUCAAGGAGGUCCCAAACCGUCUUUCACACAAGAGCCGUUUCCCACCUGAAGUGUUACUUACAUCCCGGAGGACACACAUUGAUGCAGACUAAAUGAUCAAUGUAGUAGGAAAAUGUUUUCCCUGUAUAGUAAAAGAUACUAUCUUCAGUAUGGAAAAAACAUCAAGAAACCAGUGUUUACAAGUACUAAACCGUAAAAGAAAGGGAAAAGCAAAAACCUAGCCAACAAACACAGAAAAAAUAUAUUCAACUUACUCAUAUGGGGAGAGAAAUACUUAUGUAAAGCACAAAAACAGUCUAGGAGAUUACAUACCAAAUUUUACUAACAACAAGGAAUGAAAGUUGCGAGGCAGGUGAGAAAUGGAAAUUUUCACCACUUCUUGGCUUAUAUGUUCCUAUAAUAAUGUUUUAGUUUUACAAAAGAGAAUGUAUUCUACUCAAACAGAUGUUUAAAAUUUUAAAGAAAUUAUUAAAAUGUUCAAAAUGACUUCAGUUCAAGGACAUGCAUUAAAGCAUGAAUGGAAAGAACCUCCCCAUGACUUUAAUAAGGGUCUCCUAUAACUUUUCUAAUAGUUUACAAUGUUGAUUUUAUUUUACAUUUAGAUUUUGACUUGGGAUUUACGUUUGUGUGAGGGAUGCAUUAAAAGCUGACUUCCCCCGUGCAGGUGGAAAACCAACCAUCCAGGCACCGACCACUGAGCAGUUCCGGCUUUCCCAGCUGCCGAACUGGCUCCUUUCCCACCGGCUGAAAACCUACAGCCACAGAUACCUCUCGAGCACCCUGGAGCGAGCAGAGUAAGCUUUCCAACCUGGGCUCCCUGUCCACAAGGGACAGCUACUGGCAGAGCCUUCUCCUGAUGUGGCAGGGGGCAUGCUGCACACACAAGUGCUCAGGGGCCAUCCGCUGUGGAGCAGGACACCCCUCGCCCCCGGAUGAUGAGCAGGCAGUGGGGGAGCCUGAGGGCCCAGUACUGACCUCAGCUGGGGGACAGCAGCCUGCUCAAGAAGGGGAAGCCCACUCUCCUCAGCUCGUCCAGCUUCUGCAGCAUGUGCACUUGGCUGUCAGGGCACCGCCCCUCUGCCACAUGGUAGAACAGCUCGCCGUUCUUCUUCUCCACCUGCUCCCGCAGGCAGCACCCCCGCUUUUGUUCUGCCAGGAGAAGCAGCAGGUCGAGGAGACCUCAGGCCCCCGACGCUGACAGGAUGACCCCGUUGAGGGACAUGGGGCUGGUGCUCACUCUGCACAGCUUCCACAGCUGGCUUUGGGGUGACAACUGUUGGAGGGGCAGAGAAGCUCUGGGAGGGCUUCUGAGGCACUGCUGUGAAUGAGAACUUGGGGGCUCUGGGCCAAGCCCUUGUCAGGCCCCAGACGGGUGGGCUCCAUGUCUCUCUACAGCCUCCUUCGCUCGACAAGCGCUGUGGGGACAGAUGGCCUCUCUCGAGUGUGCUUGGAGAAGAACCUGUAAGAAAGAAGUGAGCCGAUAAAUCUGCACGCCCCAAUCCUGGGGGCUAAAGUCCCCCACAGAAAUGCCACUCUUACCUAGCAAGCCCCCGGUGGGGGAAGUGAAGUCUCACCACCAGCAUCUACAGCAGACGUGUUUAUUUCUGCCUGGCUACCUGACAUUGUGGCGGCCACACUGUCUCCUAGAGUUCCUUCCAGACAUUGCUGCACCCACUCCUGACCGGCGGCUUCCUGGGAGGCCCUGGGUGCAGUCUCACCCUGCAGAGCGGCUCCCUUCAACCUGCGGGACUCUGGCUUGGCCCUCAGGUUUUCACUCAAGGACGGCAAUGAACUGGCAGCGACUUUCCCGUCUGCUUCACUCCCAUGGUCUCUCAGGGCCCCCAUGGGGAAAUGUUCACUACAGAGGAAAGAAUACUUAGUGGGGGUCCAGUUAUCCCUGUGAACAGCUUUUAACCACCGGAUCAGGUGUUUUCAGUCCUUUACGGGGAGCCUGCAGGAUAAAUGACAAAGUAGUUAGAACAAAAGAAUUAAAGGAUCAACUAUAAAAGCAAAACAAGUGUUUUUGCGAACACCUACACCUGUAGCAACUUUCUCCAUUUAAAUAUUUAGUACAGAUUUAAGGAACACCUUAACUUGCAAGUUAUUACUGGAACAGAAAGAUGAAAGACCCCCUGUCUACCUCAAGGAGCUUACAGUCUGUAGCGCAGAGGAAGGAAGGAAGGUGGGGAACUCCUCCCAGGCUGUGGUAAACGCCCUGAGGGGUACAGAUGCUCAGGCACAUAGCACAGGAUGGCAUCAAGACAACAGGAAAGGUUCCAGGAAGCCGCAGGAAUAGUUCCUAGAAGCUCACGGCUGACCAAUCCUCCUGCUGUGCCUGGGAUGCAGGGCAGGACUUUGGGUGCUAAAAUGGGGAGGGUUGGGCCCCUACUGCGAAGCCAGGCCAGAUGUCAGCCAGCAGAGCAUCCCAGACAGUCAGCAGGGUGCUGGCCCCAGCUGUGGCUCACACAGCUGAGGAUGCAAGACCACCUCCAAGACGAAGUGAGACUCAGAAGCUGUUCUGUGUUUCUGCACUACCAGGAGGAAAGCUGCUCGCUUUAAAAAAAGCAACUGGCCCGGAGAAGAUACUGACCAAGAUACUUAAUGAUCCCUUCUUCUCAUUAAGGUAAAAUCUCUACAUACACCCAACUGUGCUCGCGGGGAGGGUGCGGCGGACUCCCCGAGGGCUUUCUGCUCCACCGGAGGGCACCUAGCACCUUGAGGCUGCUGUGGACCAGGCCCAGGGUGGAUCCUACCUCUUCAGGAAGUUCUAAGCAAUGUGAUUUCCAAACUCAAAAUGCUGUGAACACGUUACCCAAAGAGCCAAGCCCACUAACACACACAGCGCGUUGGCCAUGAUGCAUACCAAGAGCAGCUUUCUUGGCAGCGCUGUACCUCAUUCUCAAAAGCAGUAACAAAACUUUGGGGACACAGGCUCUGAAGGGAACUGUCAAGAAAGCUCGGUGGCUGACGCCUGGAAUAAGCUCAUAUUACUAGCUCCUCGAGAGCUUAAGCAACUUAAGACUUAGAACAAAUCCCUGUAAACUUCCCAUAAGAGUACGGGUAACAAGCGCCAUUCAGGACUUUCACUGCGAUCACAGCCUGCAGCACGAAGGAGAAGGACCUGCCAGCAGUCUCUUCCGUUCACCGUUCUGGGGCGUCCAGGAGGCGGGCAAGGCCGCCGAGAAGGACUCGCUCAAACAGCUCAAUUCCAGGAGCCCUCACGAAGGGAGCCAGGCCGCGGGGAAGACACAGCCCUCAUGCGGGGCGGGAGCCCCCCGAAGAAGCGGCCAGGGAGCCCCGUCCCGCAGCCCGCGGGGGCGGCCCCGGGAGGAGGGCGCCCGCUCCCCCCGGGACCUCUCACACGCGGCACCGGGACUCACCUGCGGGCGCAGAGCCGCCUUUUCCCGGACUGCCGGGACCCCUCUACAAAGAGCGCCUGUGGGGCGAGGCCAUCCAGGAGGAAGAAGCUGCAUUCGCUCAGCCUCACCGCUGAUGCCAGAGCUCGAGGCAGGCUCCCCGCCAUCAAAAGAACCAAAACGUCACAGCAAGUGAAACGCAAGAGGCCAACUGAGGCAGGGAAGAGCGUCCCCAGAAUGACCUGUUCCUGGACGUCGUCGGCCCCAACCCGACCCAACGCAGAGCUGGGGCCGCGGGUCGGGGGUGAGAAGGCGGGGCGGGUCGUAAGCCGGGGCCGGCGGCCGGGCGUUGCCGCGGUGGCCCGAGGCGCCCGCCCCAGAGCCGGCGGCGCGGGACCCUGCCCCUCCCGCCGGGCGCCGGCUGUGCCGCUGGAGCGGCCGCGAGGCCCCAAGCGGGGGCUGACCGGGCGGCGGUUACCCGUGGCAGAACACGGCGGCUCCUCCGCGCGGCCCGGCCGUUGGGAGCGGUUCGCGGCCGCCCUAGAGUAGGGCUCGCGGCGACACGGCUACAGGACGCGGGAGCCGAUCCCUCUGUCCUCAGCGCGCCCGGCGUCGCGCAGCAAGGAGCGCCGAGCCCGGCCGCACGGCAAGAUGGCCGCGCCCGCGGGCCGGGCACAAGGCGGGCUGACGCGCCCUGUCCCGAGUCCGGGCGCCCAACCGCGUCUGCUUCCGCUGCCCAGACAGGUCGCUGCCGCCGUCCUCGGAGGGAACGACGCAGGACGGGUAGCCGACACCAGUCCCGGCCCUCCGCGCUGGGCCCCACCGUGCGCCAAGAGGGCGGCCGACGCACUUCUGCUCGCACUUCCGGCCCCGCCCAGCGUUUGCUCGAUAUCACUUAGGAAACAGAGAUUCAGCAAGAAAUGAUUGAGAACUUCAAGAUGGAACUGCAGAACGAAGCCCUGAGCAUGAGGCCUUCUGAGCAUAAGGCCCAUCACACACCCUGGAUGCCAGCUGUGCCUGGAGUGUUCAAAGAUGUGAAGUUGCCAGUUCCACCUUGUGGUGCCGUUGCCAAGCUCUGAACUAAUGGUCAUGUCAACUUGGAACUUGAGGUUCAACAAAAAUUUCAGAUUCCACACACGUCCUCUGGCCCCACACCAGUGUUCUCACUCAGAGUCAGGGACACAGGCUGACGGGGCUCCCACCAUCAGGAAAUUCGCCAGUCCCAUGGCAGGGGAGGGAACUCGGCAAAUGACAUGUGACACCUCUCCUCACAUUUCUUUGGACAAAGCAAGUCACGUGACCAUGCCCGACUUCAGGGGACUGGGAAGUACAGCCCUGCCACGUCCCAGGAGGAGAACCAGAGUAUCCGCGAAAGCCCUAAUGACACCCAGCUGUGGCUCCUUCGGUCCCCAGGCCCCGGACACAGGCUGUUGGAUGGACCAGCCUUUCUGAAAGAUCCCAUCCCUGCUCAAGGACAAUGAGUGCAUCCAGUCCACACAGACUGUCACCCCCAACGACGAAGACAGUGACAUCAAGAAAAUUAAGAAGGUCUGCACCAUUCCUCUGGGCUGGCACAACUGUCUCAGCCUCUUGAGAGGGCCUGCUGGCACGUCCCAGUGUCAGGAGUGUCCACCUACUGUUCCACAGCCCCCAGGGCAUGCCAUCCCCUCCCCCACAAAACUCAGCUCUAAAGACAGAACCCACGGCUCCUUACCCCUGAACAGUACCUUGUCAGGCCAUUUCUCUGCUUGUCCCUGUGAAGUGGGGGAGGCUCAGCCCCAUUGUAUAGAUGAGAAAACUGAGGCUCCACGAGAGGAAGGAGCAGAUAGAAGCAGGACAGGAGCCCAGGCCAUGAGACUCGCAGCUGAGAGCUCUCCUCACUGCACUGGGCAGCCUGAGUAAGACCCCUGAGGCCACCUCUCCACCGUCAAUCCCUUGCAUGCCCCCCCCACAGAGGGUGUCAUGCAAACACUUCCUCUCACAACUGCCCCCUUUAGUCCCCAGCAGCCCUCAGCACGGAAACCCAGCCUUAUACGACCCCAUAGUUGGCCCCACUGGUUUUGCCCUGUUAGAGUCCAGAAGGGGCAGAUGUCUCAGAAGGUCGUGCCCAGCACCAUGGGCCACCCCGUGGGGGUGUGGAGGGAGAGAACAUGAUUUGUGUUGCAGCUUGCCAGACUCGAAUCAGGGGAGCCUGACUCAUUCCCAAGAAAACCAGGGAAAAUCAGAGAAUCCUGCUUGUUGAGAGGGCAGGAGGAGCCCAGUGCCAUCCAGACCAGAAGCUGCAGACUGGCACCCACAGGCAAGUUCAGCCUACCUGUGUGUUCGGGGUUUUUAGUCCACACAGUGUUUUUUCUUUUUAUUUUUUUCUUUUUAAUUUGUUGCCAGUGCUUUAAAAGCUAAAUAUUCCACAUAAAAAUCUGGGUGUCUGGUUUCUCAGAAAUAGUUAACAUCCAUUAAGCACUUUCUAUGUGCCAGACACUAUUCUAGAGCUUUAUGCAGAUUAACUCAUUCCUAACUAAAAACUCCCUGAGGUUUCAUUGUUAUCUGCAUUUUACAUAUGGGGAAGCUGAGGCGCAGAGAGGCAAAGUGACUUUCCUAGGUCACACAGCUGAGUAUUUGCAGAGUGACAUUUAAAUCCUUAAGAAUUUUAAAAGAAUGAGAAUCAGCUUUCCCUUGUUACACUUAGUUUUAUCUUGCUUGUAGAUACAACCUGUGUGUUGUAACUGGGUUGAGGUUAAUACUGACAGAGUUUUCUUUCCCUCUAGGCUAACGAUAUCUUUCUUUUUUCAACUAUGAUUUUCCCUGAAGGUACACUGUAAGAAGAUAGAAAAUAUAUUUACCUACAGUGUUUUUUUAUUUUUUAUUUAUUUUCUUUGAGGAAGAUUAGCCCUGACCUAACAUCUGCCACCAGUCCUCCUCUUUUUGCUUUCCUUUCUUUCUUUCUUUCUUUUGUUUGUUUUUGCUGUGGAAGAUUGGCCCUGAGCUAACAUCCAUGCCCAUCUUCCUCUACUCUAUAUGUGGGACGCCUGCCACAGCAUGGCUUGAUAAGCGGUGCAUAGGUCUGCACCCGGGAUCUGAACUGGCAAAUCCUGGGCUGCUGAUGCAGAGUGUUGUGAACUUAACCACUGCACCACCAGUCCAGCCCCUAUUUACUUACAAUUUUAAUUUAAGCAGAGUAGUCUUCAUCAGAGAGUCUUCAGGUCAUGGUUUUAUGAGUGGUGAACUUAUCGUUACUUGUGAUUUCUCUUUUCCCAAACCUCUUUCUCAGCCAUGAGUUUGACCAUUAUCUUAUAUACUCCAGGUAAUUAACAGAGAGGAGGGAAGCUCAUAGAUCUAGUAAUAGACUGAGAAGGACCAGCAAAGCUGCCCCAAACCUUUCCUUCACCUGAAAACACUUGGGCUUCUGCUUUUAGUAUAUCAGUUUCUUCUAUUUAAUUCUUCUAGUAUAAUUUUAUAUUCUAAUGGAGAGGGAAAAAUAUGUAAUUGUGGAUUCUUCUAGUAGUGUGCUUCUCAUUUUUUAUUGUGUUUGAAAUUUCCUAAUAUCACAAGUAGUGAUAGCUCCUACCUUUGAAAAUUUCAUCAAUAUUCACUACUGUGUAGGAGAUGAAUUUCUCUGUUCCUAUGAAAAGUAUAAUGCAAAGAAGAAAUGGCCAUAAAUGUUCUUUCCUCUCACUGUGACAUUAUUCAGACAGUUGGUGAGCUAUACUUUUCAAAUUACCUGAUGUAGCCAAUUCAUAAUACUUGUAGCUUCUCCUUCCAGGAAUCAAGGACAAAUAAUUUUCUAUAGAAAAUCAAUUAAUUGUUAAAAUUUUAAUGAAAUUAAAAUUAAAUUUAAAUUUAAUUGAAAUUAAAGUGAAUUAUUUAAAUGACAGUUUAACUGAUAUAAGAAUCAUUCUUUGUUUAUUAUUAUUGUUUCU